AUUGAACGCUGGCGGCAGGCCUAACACAUGCAAGUCGAGCGGAUGAAGGGAGCUUGCUCCUGGAUUCAGCGGCGGACGGGUGAGUAAUGCCUAGGAAUCUGCCUGGUAGUGGGGGAUAACGUCCGGUAACGGGCGCUAAUACCGCAUACGUCCUGAGGGAGAAAGUGGGGGAUCUUCGUACCUCACGCUAUCAGAUGAGCCUAGGUCGUAUUUGAUAGUUGGUGGGGUAAAGGCCUACCAAGGCGACGAUCCGUAACUGGUCUGAGAGGAUGAUCAGUCACACUGGAACUGAGACACGGACAAGACUACUAAGGGAGGCAGCAGUGGGGAAUAUUGGACAAUGGGCGAAAGCCUGAUACAGCCAUGCCGCGUGUGUGAAGAAGGUCUUCGGAUUGUAAAGCACUUUAAGUUGGGAGGAAGGGAAGUAAGUUAAUACCUUGCUGUUUUGACGUUACCAACAGAAUAAGCACCGGCUAACUUCGUG
rnacentral:rRNA from 1 species